rnacentral:rRNA from 1 species
UACGAAGGGGGCUAGCGUUGCUCGGAAUCACUGGGCGUAAAGGGCGCGUAGGCGGCCUGUUAAGUCGAACGUGAAAUCCCCGGGCUCAACCCGGGAACUGCGUCCGAUACUGGCAGGCUUGAAUCCGGGAGAGGGAUGUGGAAUUCCAGGUGUAGCGGUGAAAUGCGUAGAUAUCUGGAGGAACACCGGUGGCGAAGGCGGCAUCCUGGACCAUGACUGACGCUGAGGAGCGAAAGCCAGGG